AACGAACGCUGGCGGCGUGCCUAACACAUGCAAGUCGAACGAGAAAGGGGCUUCGGCUCCGAGUAAAGUGGCGCACGGGUGAGUAACACGUGGGUAACCUGCCUCUAAGAUUGGGAUAACUCGUCGAAAGAUGAGCUAAUACCGAAUAAGACCACAGUUCCCGCGGGAACAGGGGUCAAAGGUAGCCUCUGCUUGCAAGCUAUCACUUAGAGAUGGGCCUGCGCACCAUUAGCUAGUUGGUAGGGUAACGGCCUACCAAGGCAAAGAUGGUUAGCUGGUCUGGGAGGAUGAUCAGCCACACUGGAACUGAGAAAAGGUCCAGGAUUCUAAGGGAGGCAGCAGUGGGGGAUAUUGCGCAAUGGGCGAAAGCUUGAAGCAGCAACGGCGCGUGAGUGAUGAAGGCCUUCGGGUCGUAAAGCUCUGUCGGGAGGAACGAAUGCUCCUGAGGUUAACAGCCUCGGGAGGUGACGGUACCUUCAAAGGAAGCACCGGCUAACUCUGUG
rnacentral:rRNA from 1 species